CGCCGCGGCCGCCCAGCCGCGCUGGCGCAGCGCUGCCGGCGGGGGAGCGGGCGGGUGCCGCCGCGCCCCUCUCCGCCCCGGGGGCAGGACGGGCCCGAGCGCUCACGCUCCGCGCGGGAAACUUCAGAGGCGGCGCUGGGGCCGGCGGGGCGCGGAGCUGGGCGCGGGCCCUGACGGACAGCGCCCCGGCCCCCGCCUCCCCAUGGCGGGCAGGCCCGGCCCUCCGCCCGCCCGCUCGUCCCGGGCCGGGCGCCCUUGCGGCUCGGCGCCCGCCGCCGCUCGGCUUCGCUCCGGCUAGCCCGUUCGCUACCCGGAACGCGCGCCCUCGCAGCCGGCAGGGGAAAGUGUCAGAGACCGGUGCUCAUUCAGCGGAUUCAUAGCGACGGGCUAAAAAGAGUUAAAGCGCGGCUGGGAAAGCUCGGGCACCUGAGAGCCAGCCGUAGCCGGAGGGGAGGGCAGGAGAGCCUUGGCGGAGGAGGAGGGGGCUGAGGAGAUGUCUGCCAUUAGGCAUGUUUAUCCUGGCAAGUCGGAGAUUCGUAAGGCAAAUAUCAAAGGCCACGGUAAGCUCAGGAAGUUCAGACUGGUGUAGAUGUUCAGCCUCCUGUUUAAAGACUGCUGAUAACUGUUCUAGAAAUAGCAUCAUCUUCUAGUAGAAGCUUUUUUCUUCUUAAAGAAAAAGGCGCUCCUGGUUUGCUCCUGUGUCAGCCGCAGAUUUCCCCAGUUGAGGAGACCAUGUUACAUUUGAGAUCCCUAAUGAGUGCUGCACUAAUUAACUUUGGUCCUAGAAGGUCACUGAGUGAUGCAGUGGGAUGCUCUUAUUAACCUUAUCCUGAGAGUCACAAUCUCUACUGACACACAGGUCCUGAAGGAAGAGCAAAGUGUCCCUCCUGAGCAGAGGAAAAGUGUGUCAAGUGUCUGAGAUGCCAUCAAGUGUCACUAGAAGCUGUGCUGUACCAGAGGAUUGGGAGUGUACAUCUGACAGCCAGUGCCCUGUUGUUCUUUUCCCCAUGCCUCCAUUAGACUAAACUUUACUGCCUAAGGAAAAGUUGCAAGCUCAAAAUAGGAGACACUGCACAGAAGACUGUAAACAGCUCAGCAUGAACACAAGCUCUUUGCUUUUGCGAACUCUACUGGGAGAACAAAAAGAAGUGUACUGAAUAAUUCAGCCUUGAGGAGAGUGAAUUGAGCUUGAGGAGAAUUGUUGAAUUCCCAAGUCUGUGGUUUGUGGUUUUUGUCAUCGACUGCGCACAUGGAUUGAAAAUCUUGUCUCUGCAGUCAGUGGUUUUUAUCUCCUCUUUGGAUUCUGCAGUUUUAUCUGGCUUUCGAUCCCUGAUCACCAGCUCUCUGUUCUUGCAAAUAAACACAAAAGAACCAUUGAAGGACCUUUCUGCUUCCAAGGGGAGCCACAAAAAGCCUGCUACACUAAUAAAUCAGAAUUUAACUUUGGACCUGAAUGUUGUAGAUAGUCCAAUGAAAGUUGAUGGAGUCAUCGUGCUAAAUGUGAGGCACUCUUCCUACUGUCCUACCCUCACAUGCUGGAAUAUCCAAAUUCUCAAGGAAGGUGAAAGUUUGAUAUCAGAAAAGAACUUGCUGAAAAUAGGGUGUCUUAACUCACCCUAAAAUUUGUUAUUUAUAUUAACAUGCUGAUGGGAGCCAGACAAUAACAAUAGGAGCUGGUCCUGCAUGUUAUGCAUUGGCAGCCAAUAAGUGAAAAACCCCAAGUUAAUAUCAUUUGAGAAUUUGUAAAUGCAUAAAAUAGAGAGCCCAUUUUCUGCAAGGUGGAAUGAUGAUGCAAUACCUGUCACUGAAAGUAGUUUGCCCAGAAAAAUGUUAUAAUUGUGAGAGUCUAGCCAGUAUUCAGGACUCUAUAUAAAACCUGAACCAUGCUCAUAAUUUCUUGAAGCCACUAAACAUGGUAAAUGUUAUUAGCUCUAAAGGAUUUUUUUCCCUGCUUCAAAAAGCAGAAUCAUCUGCAGAAAAAAAAAAAAAUAUAUAGUCUGAAAAUUGUUAUCACACUGUCAGUAGAACUUUUAUUUAAUUAACUCUUAUUGACAAUCUCACUGAGUGGUAUAGUCCAUAUAAGUAAAUAUCUGAGCUCAGUCAUAAUGUGGACUGCAGGAAAGCUCUGCUAAUGUAUUUCUAUUCAGCUGCUUGCAGCUACAAAUUAACAUUUCCUAACCAAAAGAAAGAAAUAAAAAUGUUUGGUGGUUUUGUGAUGGAUUUGUAAGACAAUGCUAAGUAACUUUCAGUGAGGAGGAUAUGGUCUCUUAUCCUUGAACUUUAAGAGAUAACAGAACCUUAACCUAAAAAAAGGAAAAAAAAAAAAAAACCCCAAAUCAAAGCCCAAACCAAAUUCUUAAUACCCAAUUAAAAAACCCUCAGUUUUGAUUCAUGGUAAAUUAAUGCUUUGUAACUCACAGUUAUCACUAGUGUUUCUGUAGUCAUGGACUUCUUUGAAAGACAGCUAAAUCUAGAAAACUUUUUAAAUUAAGUGACAGGUCAGAUGGGAUCUGCUUGCAAGUGAAACAAAUCCACAAGUCUCCCUGUGGAGGGACGAAAAUUUUUAUUCCUUUUAGCUCUAUCUUUAGUUCUGAUUAACAUAUAAUCAAAUAAACUGGAGUCCAUCCAGAAGGCAGUUUUGGUUAAAAAUAGUCAGAUAACUGCAUCAAGAAUAUGCUUUCUGCAAGGUACUCCUGAGGUAGGAAAUGCAGAAAUGGUGUCUGUUCUGGGCUAAAAAUCCCUUUUUCCACAAGCAGGAAUUCAAAUCAGAGUUGUAGCACAUGCAUGCACACUGUUUCAAGUGCCAGAACACUUCUGGUUUUAGUUAAAGGGAACAACCCAUGUCCCUAAAGGCAGGUGCUUCCCAGUGUGAAUCAGGGCUGCCCCUGGAGAGGUCCUGGAAUGCUGGUGUGAGGAUCCUGAGGCAGAAUCCUGUCCUCAAAUCUCUGGCUAAAGAUGAAAAACUUACCUUGAAAAUGCCUGGCUUUUGUAACAUCUGACUUGGGCACAGCCUUGUUGCUGGGCAAGGGAGUGACAGGAACAACAAAUCCCCAGGGGAAGGAGGAAAGGAAGGAAUCCCAGUGGAGCAAUAACAAAUCCCUGUUCUCCAGGUGAAGGGGGAGAGGAAGGAAUCCCAGUGGAGCAAUAACAAAUCCCUGUUCUCCAGGUGAAGGGGGAGAGGAAGGAAUCCCAUGGAGCAAUAACAAAUCCCUGUUCUCCAGGUGAAGGGGGAGAGGAAGGAAUCCCAUGGAGCAAUAACAAAUCCCUGUUCUCCAGGUGAAGGAGGAGAGGAAGGAAUCCCAGUGGAACAAGGUUCUUUGGCCACACUGUAGCUCGUGGUAUCUCAGUGCAAUAUGUGCCAACCUCCUGUUCCUGUGCAGCCUCAGGACCCAGUGCUGGGCAUCAAUCUGCACAGGACAGGGAGAGUUUUAUGGGAUCUUGGGCAUCUCCCUUCCCAACAGACUAGCAAACAACUCCUCUACGCCAUUGCAUUUGAAAUACUGGGGGAAUAAAAGAGCUGUGCUGCUGUGUGAGAUACUUUUGAGGGAGAACCAGGUAAGCUGUUUCUUUGGCAGAGGGAUAAUUAAACUUGUGACUGAGUCCCAUGUAUAAAUGAGUUUUUUCAACAAAAUAUAAACACUUCCAUCAGCAGAAUUGUGUUUUUUAGAAAUGUAUCUCUUUGUGAUGCUGCUUUUUGCCUAAAAGACACUGCAGUUUGCUUUAUUUGUUAUAAUAAUUAUAACCUAUACCUUAGAAUUUUUUUCUUCUACCCUGUGAUCAUCUCCCUGAAUAGCUAGAAGCUAUUUUUCCUUCUCUGAGGAUGUUCUGAUGAAGCUGAUGCUGUGUGGUAGGUCCUGGCCACCUGCUUUACUUGGUCAUGUGAAUGUUUUCCUGAGUCAUACUCCCAAAAUACAUUGUUGCCUAAAUCUAGGGAAAACUGACAAUCCGUAGCAGUUGAACUUUCAUAUUACAGCAGAAUUUAUGUUAAAAAUAAAUUGUCACAAAUUAUUACUUUCUGGAAUACAUGAGUUUCUUGCUAAGAACCUGGGUAAGGACCUAGUUCUCUGUGUGAGAAGGGUUUCUCUUGCCAUUAAUUACUCCAGGAACUAAAGUCCACACCAAAACACUAGAUAGGAGAUUGAGAUUUAUGUUCCCUGCUUUUCUGGUUAAAUAUUGAAGCUGUCACAGAAAUGUUCUCCAGCCUAUGUCAGCUGCUGUUAGCUUUCAGAGCUCAUUCUUCUUUAGGCGCUGAGAUUUUCAGCUUUUUUCAACACAGGAAUAUCUCUGCAGCCAGAAGGGUUAAGGUUGCUUUAGCAAGGCAGAGGGCACAGGCCAUCUAUAAGUUGUUCUGUGAGCCAGAGCCUGUGGGAAAACAAUAUUUUGUGUGAUGAAAUGACUCCUGGCCUCACCUUUUCCUAUGUGAUCUGUGCAAGGUGCUGUUUUACUGAAAUCCUGCUGUUUUGGCUACUAUGACUUUAGAUUUUAACCCUUCUGGAACAGUGCCUGGCUUUAGGAGAGGAUUCUAAACAGUGUUCCAGGUGGAGCCCACGUUUCAGUCUGAAGGAAAGAGGGGAAAUGUAAAGCAUGUGCUGGUCCCAGUAUUGCCUGGGGCUGUCUCUGCAGUGAUGUUUGAGUGGGUUGAUGCCAGCAAUCUCCCUGGUCAGUAACAGAGCUAGUUUGAAUUUUGCUGAGGUGUGUGCCUGACUCCAUGGAUUGCGUGUGAAAGUCAGUGGCCUCUUUCCCCCAUAUUAGAAAAUAGAAGGUGAAGAAUGCAUAAUCCACCCUGUACUUGUGCUGGCUGGAGCAGGGUUUGGAACACAAACUAGGCUCAUGGGGAAAAACAAACAGAGUGAGUUGACAAUGUGAAGCUAUUGCAAAAAGAGACAAAUGUGACUCUGCAGUUUAUCGUGAGGAAUAUUGCAUGAAAGACAUAAUUGUUCUGAUUUGAAAUUGCUGAUGCUUCAUCUAACACAAGUUUUGGAUACUGCAAUUUCAGAUAUAGAUGAGUUGGAGAGUCCAGAAAAAAGAAAAAAAAUGUAAUCUUACAAAACAAUCAUUUGUAAGCACUUCCUGUGAGGAAAAAGCUAAAAAGAAAUAGGUUUCAUAAGCUUUUCUAAAAGAAAAUGAUGUUAUGACUGUGGAAAAAAUUGUUGGUUUUGUAGCCAGGUUUUCUGGCUUCUUCAAAUAGAAAUUGAGUAUGAUAACAAAAAAUGGGGCAAAUAUAGUCAACACAACAUAUAGGAAAGUAAAUGCAGUUUUCUAUGCAAUAGAAGGUGAUCUAACCAGAAUAAAAAAAUAAUUUAAGUAAGAAUACAUUUGUGUCUCAAAUGAAAAUCAUGCCAAAGCAUUUUACAUUGAUGUCUUAAAAGUGGUUUAGUUUAGUAUUAGUAAAAAUGUAUUAUGAUUUAAAAUAUUUUUCUUGAGUGAAUAAGCAUGCCUUUGCAGUUGCUGUUGAAUGUGCAUUAAGUUAAGAGAAAACAUAAAAGGUUGUCUUAAUUGUUCCAAAUGCUGCCCAUCUCAGGUCAUUCAAUAUCCAGUGCAACUCCCACCAAAUUCCUUGUGAAGACUGUGGUGACUUUUUCCACACUGUAAAACAGCCUUUACUCCCAAAGUUGGGUAAAAUCAAAGUGAUCUGUGAUGGUGCCUGUGUUUGGGGUAUUUCAGUACAUGGCAGCAUCAGUUCUGAGAUUUGUUUGUCUGUGUGGGAUCUGGGGAUUUUAGUUCCAGGUGGAUCUCAUCUUGUCCUCCACAUCUUAAGUGUCCACUGUAAAUUGUGGGCUCACUUCAGCACUGCAGUGUUGCACAGAACCAAGGGAUUCGAAGAUGAAACCUUUACAGUUCUUUCUUCUGAAUCACACAGUGGACUUCACUUUUCACACUUUCUCUUUUUUCACUUUUACUCCAAAACUGCAAAAUGAUUAAACCAGACAGGUAUGUCUACUUCUCAGUAUAUACUUUAUCAAAGUACAGAUGUGAGCAAACUAAGGAAUGUGUGAUAUGAUUUUUUAUUUGUAGUUCUCCUCACUGAACUGUCAGUGGUGACUUCAAUUUCUCUACGUUACAUAACAAAGAUGUUAUUGGUAAUAACUUUGCUCUUCCUUGGCAGACAUGCCAAAUAUCAAGGUUACAGGAAUUUAAUCUCAUUAUUGAUAGCAACUAGACAUUUUUAAGAUAUCAAUCAAAAAGAUCUUUGAGCUUUUUGUUCUGUCCAACAACAUUAUACUCAGGAAACAAGGAGAAAUUAUAAUAAAAUAUGGUCACCGUGUUUUUUCCAAAUGCUCAUCUGCCUCUCACAGGAGAUUUUAUCCUUUGAUCAAAGUAUCUAAAACUACACAGUAAAGACCUUGAUAAUUAACAAGUCAAGAUUUGCACUCAGUUAUGUCUCACAACAUAAGUCAUAUUCAUGUGAAUGUAGAAACAGUUUCUUCUGAGUGGAUUUUCUGCUUUUCACAUUGAAACUAACAUUGAUUAAUAAAUUUUAAUAAACUUACUGUA